rnacentral:misc_RNA from 1 species
GAUGAAGAACGUAGCGAAAUGCGAUAAUUAAUGUGAAUUGCAGAAUUUAGUGAAUCAUCGAAUCUUUGAACGCACAUUGCGCCCCUUGGUAUUCUGGCGGGCAUGCCUGUUCGAGCGUCAUUUCAACCAUCAAGCCCCCGGCUUGUGUUGGGGACCUGCGGCUGCCGCAGGCCCUGAAAACCAGUGGCGGGCUCGCUAGUCACUCCGAGCGUAGUAUUACAUCUCGCUCAGGGCGUGCUGCGGGUUCCGGCCGUUAAAAAGCCUUAUUUACCCAAGGUUGACCUCGGAUCAGGUAGGAAGACCCGCUGAACUUAAGCAUAUCAAUAAGCGGAGGA